UUCGUAGGCGGUGCGGCAAGUCGGGAGUGAAAUCUCUGGGCUUAACUCAGAGGCUGCUUCCGAAACUGCUGUGCUUGAGUGUGGGAGAGGCGCGUGGAAUUGCAGGUGUAGCGGUGAAAUGCGUAGAUAUCUGCAGGAACACCCGUGGCGAAAGCGGCGCGCUGGACCACAACUGACGCUGAGGAACGAAAGCUAGGGGAGCAAACAGGAUUAGAUACCCUGGUAGUCCUAGCCCUAAACGAUCAGGACUUGGGGGUGCCGCCCGUUCGGGCGUCGUCCCGGAGCUAACGCGUUAAGUCCUGCACCUGGGGAGUACGGUCGCAAGACUGAA
rnacentral:rRNA from 1 species